CUUGAACGCUGGCGGCAGGCUUAACGCAUGCAAGUCGAGCGGGGGAGGUUGCUUCGGUAACUGACCUAGCGGCGGACGGGUGAGUAAUGCUUAGGAAUCUGCCUAUUAGUGGGGGACAACAUUCCGAAAGGAAUGCUAAUACCGCAUACGCCCUACGGGGGAAAGCAGAGGAUCUUCGGACCUUGCGCUAAUAGAUGAGCCUAAGUCGGAUUAGCUAGUUGGUGGGGUAAAGGCCUACCAAGGCGACGAUCUGUAGCGGGUCUGAGAGGAUGAUCCGCCACACGGGGACUGGGACACGGCCCAGACUCCUACGGGAGGCAGCAGUGGGGAAUAUUGGACAAUGGGGGGAACCCUGAUCCAGCCAUGCCGCGUGUGUGAAGAAGGCCUUUUGGUUGUAAAGCACUUUAAGCGAGGAGGAGGCUACCGAGACUAAUACUCUUGGAUAGUGGACGUUACUCGCAGAAUAAGCACCGGCUAACUCUGUGCCAGCCGCCGCCGUAACAC
rnacentral:rRNA from 1 species